UACGUAGGGUGCAAGCGUUGUCCGGAAUUAUUGGGCGUAAAGAGCUUGUAGGCGGUUUGUCGCGUCUGCUGUGAAAUUUCGGGGCUCAACCCCGAACUUGCAGUGGGUACGGGCAGACUAGAGUCGGUGUAGGGGAGUACGUGGAAUUCCUGGUGUAGCGGUGAAAUGCGCAGAUAUCAGGAGGAACACCGGUGCGGAAGGCGGGUCUCUGGGCCGAUACUGACGCUGAGGAAGCGAAAGCGUGGGGGAGCGAACAGG
rnacentral:rRNA from 1 species